rnacentral:rRNA from 1 species
CCUACGGGCGGCAGCAGUGGGGAAUAUUGCACAAUGGGGGAAACCCUGAUGCAGCGCUGCCGCGUGGAGGAAGAAGGUUUUCGGAUUGUAAACUCCUUUUAUCAGGGACGAUAAUGACGGUACCUGAAGAAAACGCUCCGGCUACAUACGUGCCAGCAGCCACGGUAAUACGUAGGGAGCGAGCGGUGGCCGGAAUUACUGGGUGUAAAGGGAGCGUAGGCGGGACGGCAAGUCAGAUGUGAAACCUGACGGCUCAACUUUCGGACUGCAUUUGAAACUGCUGUUCUUGAGUGAAGUAGAGGUAAGUGGAAUUCCAAGUGUAGCGGUGAAAUGCGUAGAUAUUAGGAGGAACAUCAGUGGCGAAGGCGGCUUACUGGGCUUUUACUGACGCUGAGGUUCGAAAGCGUGGGGAGCAAACAGGAUUAGAUACCCGUGUAGUC